AGGAUGAACGCUGGCGGCGUGCCUAAUACAUGCAAGUCGAACGGAGCCGCAAGGCUUAGUGGCGACCGGGUGAGUAACACGUAGCUAACCUACCCCUCGGCGGGGGAUAACAGGCCGAAAGGCUUGCUAAUACCGCAUGACUUCGUCGGGACUAGAAAACGAUGAAGAAACUUUCGGGGUCGAGGGAGGGGCUGCGGCCCAUCAGGUAGUUGGUGAGGUAACGGCUCACCAAGCCGACGACGGGUA
rnacentral:rRNA from 1 species